AUGGCAAUAUCACAUUGAAACACCAGUUCUCGUAUGAUCACUAAAAUUAAGCAACGUUGAGCUUAGUCAGUACCUAGAUAGGCGACUGCUUGGGAAUAUCGGGUGCUGUAAU